UCCCCAGUGGCACAAUCGGUUAGCGCGCCGUACUUAUAAUGCGGAGGUUGUUAGUUCGAGCCUCACCUGGGGAA
rnacentral:tRNA from 1 species